GACGGCCAAACGUUUUAUUAAUAGGUCACGUUUUGAAUCCGAGGCUAGCUUUGCGGUACUUGGGGCCGCGCGAGCGGGAACGACUAUAGCCCCAGGCGUUUCUUUGACUCGACGCGAUGGCAUAGCACGUUCAGUGAUCCAUUUCGCAUUGAUGUCACGUUGGAAAGUUCUUCUGCGCUUAUCAAAAUAAAUUCCAAGAUCGUGAAGAAACCGCA